rnacentral:rRNA from 1 species
UACAGAGGGUGCGAGCGUUAAUCGGAAUUACUGGGCGUAAAGCGUGCGUAGGUGGUUUGUUAAGUCUGAUGUGAAAGCCCUGGGCUCAACCUGGGAAUUGCAUUGAAUACUGGCAAGCUAGAGUGCGGUAGAGGAUGGCGGAAUUCCCGGUGUAGCAGUGAAAUGCGUAGAGAUCGGGAGGAACAUCUGUGGCGAAGGCGGCCAUCUGGACCAGCACUGACACUGAGGCACGAAAGCGUGGGGAGCAAACAGG